UGGGGGAUAUUGCACAAUGGGCGAAAGCCUGAUGCAGCGACGCCGCGUGGGGGAUGAAGGCCUUCGGGUUGUAAACUUCUUUUGCUCUGAACAAGGCAUGCCUUUGGGGUGUGUUGAGUGUAGGGGUUGAUUAGCGCCGGCUAACUACGUGCCAGCAGCCGCGGUAAUACGUAGGGCGCGAGCGUUGUCCGGAAUUAUUGGGCGUAAAGGGCUUGUAGGUGGCUGGUUGCGUCUGUCGUGAAAGCUCAUGGCUUAACUGUGGGUUUGCGGUGGGUACGGGCUGGCUUGGGUGCAGUAGGGGAGGCUGGAAUUCCUGGUGUAGCGGUGGAAUGCGCAGAUAUCAGGAGGAAUACCGGUGGCGAAGGCGGGUCUCUGGGCUGUUACUGACGCUGAGGAGCGGAAGCGUGGGGAGCGAACAGG
rnacentral:rRNA from 1 species